CAUUGCUUGACUAGCGUUUGAAAAAAUUUUCCUCUUUGCAUGCGAGAAUCCCUGCUAGUGCAGGGCCGUAGCUUAGCUUCGCCGAACAUUGUAGCAUGAUGCCAAUGGGAGUGUGACAUUCGGCACUUUGUGGGAUCUCCCAGAAGUAAAAAAAGCAGUAGCUGCAUUUGGUGCCUUUGCCUCCGGGGAUUUUUCUUUAGCGGGAGCCAGGAAACAAAAUUUUUCAGCCGGCUCGCUUGUGCCUUAUUCUUAAAACCCGAUCGCCAGUGGAUAUAUCGGCAGCCCCAUUGUUUCGGGUUUUACCCUUGGAUUUUUUUUAAGACCGGAUUUGCUUGGCGUUUUCCCAACUUCAUCAGUCUCGAAAAAGAAAAGAAAAAAUUCUUUGACAACAGCGAC
rnacentral:sRNA from 2 species